UACGUAGGGGGCAAGCGUUGUCCGGAUUUAUUGGGCGUAAAGCGCGUGUAGGCGGCUAAGUAAGUCGGGCGUGAAAUCCCACGGCUCAACCGUGGAAGUGCACUCGAAACUGCAUAGCUAGAGUCCUGGAGAGGAAGGUGGAAUGCUUGGUGUAGAGGUGAAAUUCGUAGAUAUCAAGCGGAACACCGGUGGCGAAGGCGGCCUUCUGGAC
rnacentral:rRNA from 1 species